rnacentral:SRP_RNA from 1 species
GCCUGGUGUGGUGGUGCAUGCCUGUAGUCCCAGCUACUCAGGAGGCUGAGGCUGGAGGAUCUCUUGAGUCCAGGAGCUCUGGGCUGUAAUGUGCUAUGCUGAUCAGGUGUCCGCAUUAAGUUCAGCAUCAAUAUGGUGACCUCCCAGGAGCGAGGGACCACCAGGUUGCCUAAGGAGGAGUGAACCAGCCCAGGCAGGAAACAGAGCAGGUCAGAACUCCCGUGCUGAUCAGUAGUGGGAUCACGCCUGUGAAUAGCCACUGUACUCCAGCCUGGGCAACACAGGGAGACCCCAUCUCU